CCAAAGGCUCCAUAGGAGUUUGGCAAGUGGGAAGAGAAUAAAGAUCUGGGUAAGGGGUGGGGAGGUUUUCAGGCAGAAGCACUGCACGCUGAAAGGCUGGAAGAGAAGGUAGAGUUUCACAAAGACUGGAGAAUGGAGUAGGGGAUGGGUGAGAUAUCAGGGCCAGACCCUAUAGGCCACUGGGAGGGAGAGGCAACAGAUCAAGUCCUGGGAGGCAGAGUUCUAGUUCAAGGCCAUUUGUAGCUUAUUGUAUAGCAUUAGACAGGUUUUUAGACCUCCUCAGACCUCAGUUUCCUCAUCUCUAAUAGGGGGCUAGAAAUACCCACACAACCUUCUUCUCAGUGUUGUCAGGAUUAAAUGGUUUGAAAAAGUUAAAAAUCCUCUGCAAAAGCAAGGAGUUUGGACUGUUAUUCCUAGAAACACUGCUUCCACGUCCUGGAUCCAACCCCAUUCCUCCCUUAGGAGGUCCACCAUGCCCCUCCGUGCAGCUUGAGGUAGGAAGUGUCAACCUCAGAGGAGAGUUGGAAGAGGAGAUGGCCAGGACUGGAGUUUCACUGUGACUUGGGAGACUCAGGGUCUUAUUGCCUGCCUCAGGGAAGAUCCCACCUCCCAGCCCAGGCCCAGAAGCCCUCCUAAGAUACCUGCCACCCUUUGCUCAAGUGACAGCUGCCAUUUCAUGACAUGACUCUCUACAUGCCAAGCCCUAUGCUGAGCACUGUCAUUCAGGGUCACUUCACAUUUACAGCACAGACUCAAAUCAGUCAGACUCAGGUUUAAAUCCUAAAUAUGUCCCUGCCCCAGUUCCCAUCAGUGUGGCCUUGAGGAAUUAAGCAUUCUGAGAAAAUUACUCAGUUUCCUCAACAGUAAAAAAAGUGCAUAUUAAUGAGACCCAGGUCAUAUGGUGGGUUACGAGGUUUAAAUGAGCUUAUUAAUAAAUCCCAUGAUAAACAAUGA
rnacentral:antisense_RNA from 1 species